AGUGAACGCUGGCGGUAGGCCUAACACAUGCAAGUCGAACGGCAGCACAGUAAGAGCUUGCUCUUACGGGUGGCGAGUGGCGGACGGGUGAGGAAUACAUCGGAAUCUACUUUUUCGUGGGGGAUAACGUAGGGACACUUACCCUAAUCCCGCAUACGACCUACGGGUGAAAGCAGGGGAUCUUCGGACCUUGCGCGAUUGAAUGAGCCGAUGUCGGAUUAGCUAGUUGGCGGGGUAAAGGCCCACCAAGGCGACGAUCCGUAGCUGGUCUGAGAGGAUGAUCAGCCACACUGGAACUGAGACACGGUCCAGACGCCUACGGGAGGCAGCAGUGGGGAAUAUUGGACAAUGGGCGCAAGCCUGAUCCAGCCAUACCGCGUGGGUGAAGAAGGCCUUCGGGUUGUAAAGCCCUUUUGUUGGGAAAGAAAAGCAGCAGGUUAAUACCCCGCUGUUCUGACGGUACCCAAAGAAUAAGCACCGGCUAACUUCGUG
rnacentral:rRNA from 1 species